CCGGGUGACACAGCUGGUGCGAGGGUUUGCUGGGACGUGGAAGGCGGCUGUGGAGUCCUGAGCCAGGACGUGAUGCGCUCCUUCACCAACUUCAAGAACUGGCACCACCAUCAUCCAGGGGGCGCUGACACAGCUGAUCCAGUACUACCACCGCUUCCACAAGGUCAUGGCGCUGGCCCCCCUCAAGGCCCUGCCCGUCCGCUCGGAGCUCAUCAAUAUCCACCAUCUCAUGGUCGAGGUGAAGAAACACAAGCCCAAUUUCUGAAACGGGGCAGGCGUGGCGACUGGUGUCUCCCCCCUUCCCCUGCAUCCUGGGGUAGGAAUAAACACCUCCACUGGCCAACGCCUUGUUUCACCUGUGAGCUAAACUUCCGUGUGUCUGCUGUCUGUCUUUUGCUUUGUACAGUUGCAAUAAAGUCUCUUGCAGUUCAA